AGCGUGUCUGAGCCAUAGCCAUGGCCUCAUAAUGUUGCAUCUGUUCUCCAUUGUGCUCCUGGCCGGGCUUCUGGUGGCUGUUCUUGUUCAAGGAUUCAAGGGUCCCAGCCCCUCUGGGAAUGAGAAAAUCUACAAGCAACUGAUGAAACUGAGGCAUGAAAUGGACAGCCUUUGUUGACCUUGCCCCUGGGAAUGGACACUCUUCAGUGGAAAAUGUUACUACUUCUCCAAGUCCCACCGUAACUGGAGUGAUUCCUUUGCUGCCUGCCAGGAAGUAGAGGCUCAACUAGUCGUCGUUGAGAGUGAUGAAGAACAGACAUUCCUGCAUGUGAUUUCUGAGGAUAAUGGAUCUGCCUGGAUAGGUCUCUCAGACCUGAAACAGAAUGGCACAUGGCAGUGGGUAGAUGGCUCACCAAUGUCAGACAGGUAGAUCUUAGGGCCAGGGAACAUCACAAAGUGUGGGGUAGGGCUGUGAAACUCUGACUCUAGCUGUCA